rnacentral:rRNA from 1 species
GCGUGGGGUUGAAAAAAAAAACACGUGAGUAACCUGCCCUUGACUUUGGGAUAACUUCAGGAAACUGGGGCUAAUACCGGAUAGGAGCUCCUGCUGCAUGGUGGGGGUUGGAAAGUUUCGGCGGUUGGGGAUGGACUCGCGGCUUAUCAGCUUGUUGGUGGGGUAGUGGCUUACCAAGGCUUUGACGGGUAGCCGGCCUGAGAGGGUGACCGGCCAAAUUGGGACUGAGAUACGGCCAAGACUCCUACGGGAGGCAGCAGUGGGGAAUAUUGCACAAUGGGCGGAAGCCUGAUGCAGCAACGCCUUGUUUGUGAAAACGUCCGGCGGCCUCUGAAAUCUACACACAG